AGAGCGAACGCUGGCGGCGUGCCUAACACAUGCAAGUCGGACGAGAAAGGCCGGGGAAACUUGGCCGAGUAAAGUGGCGCACGGGUGAGUAACGCGUGAGUGACCUAUCCUGGAGACGGGGAUAACCUUGCGAAAGCGGGGCUAAUACCCGAUAAUACUCAAGCCGAGGUAAUCGGCUUGGGGAAAGCUGGCUUUUAAAUAAGCUAGUGCUCUAGGGUGGGCUCGCGUCCUAUCAGCUAGUUGGUAGGGUAAAGGCCUACCAAGGCUAAGACGGGUAGCUGGUCUGAGAGGAUGGCCAGCCACACUGGAACUGAGACACGGUCCAGACUCCUACGGGAGGCAGCAGUGAGGGAUAUUGCGCAAUGGCCGAAAGGCUGACGCAGCGACGCCGCGUGGGUGAGGAAGGCCUUCGGGUCGUAAAGCCCUGUCGGUGGGGAAGAAGGUCCCUAAGGUGAAUAAUCUUAGGGGGGUGACGGUACCCACGGAGGAAGCACCGGCUAACUCCGUGCCAGCAGCCGCGGUAAUACGGAGGGUGCGAGCGUUACUCGGAAUCACUGGGCGUAAAGGGCGCGUAGGCGGUCUAGCAAGUCUGGUGUGAAAGCCCAGGGCUCAACCCUGGAAGGGCACUGGAAACUGCUAGGCUUGAGUUCCGGAGAGGAGGGGGGAAUUCC
rnacentral:rRNA from 1 species